ensembl:lincRNA
CUUUGAUAAUGACAUGGUUUCUACUUUUUUCUAAUCUUUAAUCACCAAUGUAAAGCAGUGCUAGUAUCAGGGCCCCUCUGGGACAUCUUCCUUUCACAGGGAGUCAGGAGUCAUAUUCUUGCCAAGAUGUUUUGGGUACAGCCUCAGUGGGUGGGUGGGUGGGCUUUUGUCUUUUUCUUCUGCUUCAUACAUUGUUUCCCUGCGUUAGAAAUGCCACUGCUGACAGUGUUCUUUCUCGGCAGUUUCCAUGCCACAGAAUGUGCUGAAGUCGUCUGGCAGCUUCCAUGAUGAGGGUAAUCAGGCUGGCAGGCACCAGCCCUCGUGCACCUGCACUUGGCUCCCACGCAGCACAGUGGAUGGAUGGAGGGAGGGCUCCACCACAGCGCUUCACCCUGGCCCUCCCUCUCUCCCUCCCUGCUGGCUCAGGGCUGCUUUUUUCCUGCAGAGAAGUGUGCAGUGAGGGACUUGGGCAGACAGCAUGAGAGGCAGAGUCUUUGCUUACCUGGAGGUUGCCUUCUAAUGUACUGGGCUCCUGGGAGUGCAUGAAGGCUUCUUAGAUGAAGAGUAAUGGGGAUGUCUUACACAGCAAGAUGAGAAAACACAGACCACUUGGCUCUCUAGCGAGGACCAGAAUUUGAGUCAAAAUUAUAUGAAAGCAACAGCCCACAAUUGCCUGCAUUUUCUUUCCUCUUCAAAACCACUUCUGCUCCAAAGACCAUGAACCUGAACUGAAGAAACGACUCCUUCCUGCUGGCGUGAGAUAAUUCAGUCUCCAUGAUGUCUUAAUCCUGGGCCUCCCUUAAUUGACUUCUAACUGUGCUGAACUGUGGCUGCUAGGAGUUGCAAUGUGGAUCGCAAUUUACAAGGCACUGGAAUCGUUUCUUGUCUUCAAAUUAGUCCUGAGCUGUACUGGAGAAAGAAAAAAAGGGGCCUUUACCCUUCUCGCUGUCUUGUCACCACAAGAAGAGAAAAAGACCGGUCUCUGUUUGGAAAUUACAAACAUAGAAGAACUUAGAAACAAUACGUUUCUAGAUUGGGUGGAAGAUGCUGUUGCAGAAAAGCAGUCCAAAAUCAUCCACAAGCUGAGAAAUCGGCUCCUGGACAUUAGAGAGUGCCUGGCUACUUCAAGAGUUGAGCUAAUCACAGGGAAGAUUCAGUCUCAGUUCAGCUGCCUCAUUUGAUCAGCUCAAGACUGAGUCCAACAAAAGUGGUCUGUCUAAUGAAACUCAUUUUCAUUUUUUCUCAUUAGUCUAUACACGAUUGAGACUGUAGAACGACAAAAGAAUAAAAAGAAGAAUGACAAUUAAAAAUCAUUUUCUCUGGCCCUUGAUUUUUGCCUUCUUUUUUUUAAAUGUAGUUACGUGCUCAUUUUUUGUUUCUUUUUUAUUCUCUGCUCUUCUUUUCUAUUGAUUUUCCCAUUUAUGAAGGGGGAAUUAGUAAAUCCAUGGUCUGAGUGCUGAGAUGUUCUGAUAGGCCUUCAAGUUUUCAGCUGUACUCUGAAUCAGAAUAAUAUACUCCAUCAAGGAGACUGACAUUGGCACCACCUUCCCAGAAAUCCAGGAGCGCCUUUGCAUGAGUAAAAGCAGAAGGGAGUAAAGUCAUGAAACAUUGUGUGUGUGUUUGUAUAAAACUGUAUAUUUUUGCUCACAUAUAAUAACUAUAUAUUUCUGCUAAUUUUUCCUUUUAAAGGCUAUUAAGUUACUUAAAAUCCAUUGCCUAAUAAAACUGCAAUUCACCUUUGUAAUUCACUCAUUUGUUUGCUGUCACAGGGAAGAUAGAAAUUGAGCAUGUUUUCGGCCGGGUGUGGUGGCUCACGCCUGUAAUCCUAACACUUGGGGAGGCCGAGGUGGGCGGGUCACGAGGUCAGGAGAUUGAGACCAUCCUGGCUAACAUGGUGAAACCUCGUCUCCACUAAAAAUUCAAAAAAUUAGCCGGACGAGGUGGUGGGUGCCUGUAGUCCCAGCUACUCGGGAGGCUGAGGCAGGAGAAUGGCAUGAACCCUGGAGGCAGAGUUUGCAGUGAGCUGAGAUCGAGCCACUGCACUCCAGCUUGGGCGACAGAGCGAGACUCUGUCUCAAAAAAAAAAAAGAAAAGAAAAAGAAAAAAAGAAAAAGAAAAGAAAAGAAAAGAAAUUGAGCACGUUUUCUGCUCUCCUUCAAUACCAACCUCAGAAUAAAGUGAUGGCGGAGAGAAAACAAGGAUCUUGUUUCAAAAAUCCUUUAAUUCCAUGUAACUGAAAACAUGAGUCCCACUGACAGUUUUUAAAAAGGUAAGGAG